rnacentral:misc_RNA from 1 species
GUAUUGAUCGCGUAUCACCGCAAAAAGAAAAUACAUUCUACACUGCUUUAUAAGUUUGUGUGAAAAAACGUGGGCCCCCCCUUCUGGGGGAACUCACGCGGUUGUGCACAAAGGGGUGAGAUGGAUGUGUGAGAGUGCUCGGGCGUGCACGACCUUUUCAAAAGUCAGCGACAACCCCAGCACCUCCAUUGUAUGAUAAUGAUCCUUCCGCAGGUUCACCUACGGAAA